rnacentral:rRNA from 1 species
CCUACGGGGGGCUGCAGUGAGGAAUAUUGGUCAAUGGGCGAGAGCCUGAACCAGCCAAGUCGCGUGAGGGAGUACUGCCCUAUGGGUUGUAAACCUCUUUUGUCGGGGAGCAAAAGCCGGACGUGUCCGGCUGUGAGAGUACCCGAAGAAAAAGCAUCGGCUAACUCCGUGCCAGCAGCCGCGGUAAUACGGAGGAUGCGAGCGUUAUCCGGAUUUAUUGGGUUUAAAGGGGGCGCAGGCGGAUUUUUAAGUCAGCGGUAAAAUCGUGGGGCUCAACCCCAUCCAGCCGUUGAAACUGGGGAUCUAGAGUGUGCGAGAGGUAUGCGGAAUGCGUGGUGUAGCGGUGAAAUGCAUAGAUAUCACGCAGAACCCCGAUUGCGAAGGCAGCAUACCGGUGCACAACUGACGCUCAGGCACGAAAGCGUGGGUAUCGAACAGGAUUAGAUACCCUUGUAGUC